CCUACGGGUGGCAGCAGUGGGGAAUAUUGGGCAAUGGGCGCAAGCCUGACCCAGCAACGCCGCGUGAAGGAUGAAGGCUCUCGGGUUGUAAACUUCUUUCAUCAGGGACGAAGCAAGUGACGGUACCUGAUGAAUAAGCCACGGCUAACUACUUGCCAGUAGCCGCGGUAAUACGUAGGUGGCAAGCGUUAUCCGGAUUUACUGGGUGUAUAGGGCGUGUAGGCGGGAAAGCAAGUCAGAUGUGAAAACCAUGGGCUCAACCGGGGGCCUGCAUUUGAAACUGUAUAUCUUGAGUACUGGGGAGGCAGACGGAAUUCCUGGUGUAGCGGUGAAAUGCGUAGAUAUUAUGAGGAACACCAGUGGCGAAGGCGGUCUGCUGGACAGCAACUGACGCUGAGGCGCGAAAGCGUGGGGAGCAAACAGGAUUAGAUACCCUAGUAGUC
rnacentral:rRNA from 1 species